rnacentral:lncRNA from 1 species
AUCUUAAGAUUUUAAUGACUAGUUCAAAAUUAGAAAAACUUUUACCAAGAGCUUUGAGUCCAUUGAUGACAUCCGUGAAACGGGUGUACAUGUCUCCGAUGGACUCACUUGGUUUCAUCCGGAAAAGUUCGUAAGAAUGCACAAGAAUAUUGAUUUUGGACUCUUUCACUCGGCUAGUGCCUUCAUGAGUGACCUCUAGAGUUCUCCAAAUAUCAAAAGCCGAGUCACACAUAGAAACGCGAUUAAAUUCAUUUUUGUCAAGUGCACAAUAUAAGGCAUUCAUAGCCUUUGCAUUUAGAGAAA